rnacentral:rRNA from 1 species
AUGAUUGUCCUUAUUCCUAAAGGUAAUGCUCCUGAAUACUUGAAAGAUUUUCGUCCAAUAAGCCUGUGCAACGUCAUCUAUAAAGUGAUCUCUAAAUGCCUUGUUAACUGCCUUCGACCUUUCUUGGAUGAGUUGGUGUCAGAAACACAGAGUGUUUUCAUUCCUGGAAGACUCAUCACGGACAACACGUAUAUCGCCUUUGAGUGUUUUUAUAAAAUCCAACACAACAAGAACGCUACCAAUAGCCAUUAUGCCCUUUUUUUGAACAACAAAAGGCGCACUAGGCGCCAAACUUUCUUAUUUCAGCUCAGAAACACCGUACAACAUGAAUUACAAAGCCCUGAAAUUGAAAAGUAG